rnacentral:lncRNA from 1 species
AAGUACCAAAAAAACAGCAUUAACCUCAGUACAUGUUUUCAGCUAUAGUGGAUGAAACUACUGAAGCAAUUUUGAGUCUGCUCAUGUAGGAAUUUGUAGUAAUAAGAUACAGUGGAAGUCGAGCAUUCCAACUAAUGGUGUUUUUCAGCCAGACACGUUUCUCUGUGAAGCUAUAAAAAACCUUGAAUCGGUGCCAAGAUGAAAGAGGGGUGGCCAUAAAGAAAGAAUGUAAUGACCCUGACACACGUUGAAGUGCUUGUUUGUCCCCAAAACCUGCUCAGCUUACAGACGCAACUCAGCAGCUGCUCUUGAGAUUUAUCGACCUACGCUGUCGACAAGGGUUGGCUAUGCUGCGGCACUCAAAAACAACUUGUGUUAUCGGCUGAACAUAAGAGCUGCCUCUGAUAUGGACAUCGGUAAUUCAGGCCAGCAGACAUAAUGCAGUUGCCAAGAGGAGAGGCAUCGCUGAUGGUUGGAGGCACAACGACAUCACAUGAAGUCAAUUCUCAGAUGAUGUCAACAUCAAAGGGUGAGUCCACAUUCCAAACGCUGUUCUCACAUAGCUAAUCUUAAACAUUGCCAGCGUUUAAGCACCUAGACACAAAUCGCCACUUUUGAAUGAUCACAGAAUAUUUACACAAUGCCGGUAGCAAACAUUAUUGUAGGAAUAAGAUGCCUAAGCCGCACUGGUGCUCCAUCAUACACUGUGUGCAUGUUUAAGAGACAAGCAUUACCUGCAUGCUACUUUUCUAAUAGGAUGUAAGCAGGUUUCCACGUUAUUGCCACAUUUGUGCUCUUUGCCCAGAACAUGCAUUAGAUGCCUGUCCUGAGGAAUGUCCUAUGCAUUUAUGUGCUGGCUAGAUCUGUCCUUGCAUUGGACACUGUUACAUUACACAUUGAUUCUAAAUUCUGUUGCCAGUGGUACCAUCUGGUUGGAAUGAAGUAUAAACACAUUUAAGGCGCAAUUAUUCAAAUCUGAUAAAAUAUUGACGCCUAAGUACUCGCUAAAUGUGCAGUGGGCACAGCCUUUCGUUUUUAAAUGUGUUCGCUGUUCUCAGUGGUGAACAUAAUGUGAAAGUGUGUGUGCCGUGGUUUAAGCUGCAUGUGUUUAAUUCCUGUCCAAAAGUGUACAGUUCUACCAUCUACAUACAGGUCUUGAUGUGCAUUGCUAAACAAUGGAUUGAUAUAAACAGAAACCCAAAUUUCACACAGGAAAAGUGACCUAGCAAUACUUUCAGGAAGUGUUUCAGGAAGAUUUAAGCCCUGCAUGAAUGUAUGUUGACUAAUGUGAAACAUGAAUACCAGAUCCAUGUUUAUACAUGUUUACAGCAAAAAUGAGAUGGUACACAUAAAUGUGCCACCUCUUCCUUCUGUGUGUUGUCUGAACCAACUAGCCCGUCUGAUUUACUGUAACUGAGAAGUACAAUACACUUAUUCAGUUUACAACAUGAAAUGAACUAAUGUAAUACCAUGCAGUCCUGCAUUUUUAUUUUUGACAGCUAGCUAUCAAGGCUAUUUUUGGAAGUGCCUGUGUUAUCUGUCCAUUGAGCACUCUGUGUAUCUUCUAAACUGUUAUCAGAG